rnacentral:rRNA from 1 species
GGCGUGCUACCAUGCAAGUCGAGCGAUGAAGCCCUUCGGGGUGGAUUAGCGGCGGACGGGUGAGUAACACGUGAGUAACCUGCCUCAAAGUGGGGGAUAGCCUUCCGAAAGGGAGAUUAAUACCGCAUAAUGUAUGAGAGUCGCAUGACUUUUAUACCAAAGGAGCAAUCCGCUAUAAGAUGGACCCGCGGCGCAUUAGCUAGUUGGAGAGGUAACGGCUCACCAAGGCGACGAUGCGUAGCCGACCUGAGAGGGUGAUCGGCCACAUUGGAACUGAGACACGGUCCAGACUCCUACGGGAGGCAGCAGUGGGGAAUAUUGCACAAUGGGCGAAAGCCUGAUGCAGCAACGCCGCGUGAAUGAAGAAGGCCUUAGGGUUGUAAAGUUCUGUCAUAUGGGAAGAUAAUGACGGUACCAUAUGAGGAAGCCACGGCUAACUACGUGCCAGCAGCCGCGGUAAUACGUAGGUGGCAAGCGUUGUCCGGAUUUACUGGGCGUAAAGCAUGCGUAGGCGGAUACUUAAGUGGGAUGUGAAAUCCCGGGGCUUAACCCCGGUGCUGCAUUCCAAACUGGGUAUCUAGAGUGCAGGAGAGGAAAGCGGAAUUCCUAGUGUAGCGGUGAAAUGCGUAGAGAUUAGGAAGAACACCAGUGGCGAAGGCGGCUUUCUGGACUGUAACUGACGCUGAGGCAUGAAAGCGUGGGUAGCAAACAAGAUUAGAUACCCUGGUAGUCCACGCCGUAAACGAUGGGUACUAGGUGUCGGGGUUUCGUUACCUCGGUGCCGCAGUUAACACAUUAAGUACCCCGCCUGGGGAGUACGAUCGCAAGAUUAAAACUCAAAGGAAUUGAC